rnacentral:misc_RNA from 1 species
GAAAUGCGAUAAGUAAUGUGAAUUGCAGAAUUCAGUGAAUCAUCGAAUCUUUGAACGCAUCUUGCGCUCCUUGGUACUCCGAGGAGCAUGCCUGUUUGAGUGUCAUUAAAUUCUCAACUCUCUUAUACUUUGUUGUGUAGGAGGGCUUGGAUUGUGGAGGUUUGCUGGCAACUUGUUUGCGGUCAGCUCCUCUGAAAUGCAUUAGCGGAACCGUUUGCGAUCUGCCACAAGUGUGAUAAACUAUCUACACUGGCGAGGGGAUUGCUCUCUGUGUUGUUCAGCUUCUAAUCGUCUCAGCUUGAGACAACUUUUUGAAUACUUGACCUCAAAUCAGGUAGGACUACCCGCUGAACUUAA